rnacentral:lncRNA from 1 species
AAAAACAAUUCUAUAACACAUAAUAUUUCAAUAUCUUCUAAAAUUUAAAUAUAAAAUCUCGCAAAAUCACUAGAAAUUUUCUAUUUAUUAGUAGUAAAAAUCUUAUGAAUCACCAAAAUAUCCUUAAAAUCCUCUACAAUCUCUCCAAAUCUAAAAUGUACCAAAAUCAACUAAAAGGCUUUGUCCAAUAUAGAACAAUAAGUCUCUAACGUCAAGGUCAAGGUACACAAACUGUUUUUGGUUUUUUUUUUUUUCUGGAUCUGAAGCUUUCUUUGGUUUUUCUCUCAGCCAUGUUUGUGUUAUUAUCAAUUUCAUAUCUUCCCACUGAAAAUCUCAAUUUUGUUCAUAUUCUCUGUUUUGUACUAAAUUCAUGUACUGCACAUAUGUAUUUUUUUUUGGAUUUUUGGAUGUGAUUCGAAGUGAUAACCCUUGGAUAAAAAUCAAGGCUGGAGUCUCUAAGCAGCUUUGUUACUAGAAACCUUUUUUUACUUGGUUUCUGGUUAGAUACACUCUAAAGAGCUUGGAAAUGGUAUUGUAACGUUGCCAUAUAUGCCUUUGAUCGAGGGAACACUUCUUAUCAUAUAUCUGAUAUAUAUCAUAAUUCCUGAAAGUAACUUGUGUGUCAAGUCUCAUAGUUUCUCUGCAAAUUUUCGUUUGCUUAUCUUUGUUGUGUUGGGUUUUGUCUAUUUAUGAGAAUCUGAAAUUUGGUAAUACUUGUCGUUAACGUGGCCUGUUUAAUCAACUUAAUUCAACUUCUUGGUUGUUGUUAUCUACCUCUUAAGAGCGCUGAACUUAUUGAUCAUUCUCAAAACAAACAAUAUUUGUACAUCACUUCUCUUCUUUGUAUGAAAUCGUCUUAUUUUGCAGGGUUUGUUUCUUAAUAUAGAGAAUGUCUCAUAGAAAAGUUGAGCAUCCAGGACAUGUUUCAUUGGGUUUCCUUCCAAGGAAACGAGCUAACAGACAAGCUUGUAAUUAGAUCUUAAGACCAUACUUUGUUGCAUCUUCUGUAUUGCCGUAUUGGUCGGAUAAACUUGCUUAAUUUCUCAUGGAAAGUGUUUGAUUUUCUAGCAUAAUGUUGUAUCAUACACGUUUCCUAAGCAUAUUAAUUUCAUAUGGUGUGUAGUCUUAUCUGACAUGCCUAGUUUGAUAAUCCUACUAAGUUUAUCACAUUCUAUGAUACGUACGUCUUCCAAAUUCACAAACGGUCAAUUCCAAACUACUCAGGAGAAGGCCAAGUUCUAUGACAGAGUCAAAGCUUAGAUUUUCAUAAUUCAGUUCUUUCUAUUAGAACAGUGUUUUCUUUUCUAAGUAUUAUUGCUUUUCAGAGUUACUAAUUUCUUGUUAACCAUUUUGGUUAAAAGGUUUAUGGCAAACGUACUUUUAGGCUUGUAUAAUGAAAAAGGUAUAAGCACAAGUUCUCACGUCACGGCGAGCAAUAGAUCGAUGAAUCAAAAUCUACAUGAAACCAUAUUUAGCAGAGUGUGGAAAUUUGGAAUCCUUUACUUAUUUAGAAGUUGUAGUAAUUAGUCACGCAAUUAAGUCUCAUUUAUUGAUGGGUUUUUUUUUAUGGCUCAAAUUGCAUGAUGAUUAUAUUAUAUAACAUGGAAGGUUUAAUUAUAAGCAUGCUUAUCAGUAUGUUACUUGAGUUAGUAAAUCAAUAGAAAUAUAUGUUCAAUCUAGAUUAGUUAGAUAAUUCGAUCUGAAAUUCAUAUUGAACGUAUGGAAAUUUUAAUCAAUAUCUCUUAACCUAUGCCUUUGUAAUUGUAGCCUUAUCCAGAAAAAAAACAAAAACAAUAAUACAUAUAAAACCGGGAUAAUGUCGGGAGAUUAUCGCAGCCAACUAUUAAGUUUCCAAAAUGAUACUUGUGUCUUCUAGAAGUUAUUAUGUUCUUGAUCUCUUUGUCCAAGGGCGGACGCAUUAAGAUUUAAAGUGGGUUAACUGAUGUAACACUCCGACCGUCCUUACCAGUGGGCCCCACGUCUUCUUUUGGAUCUUUCUUUGUGUUUUAUCCUUACUCACACAGUUCCGACAAUCACCCAUCCUGAAACUACUCCAGUCCAAGCACGCUUAACUGUAGAGUUUUCUCAGGACAGUUGACCGAAAAGAUAAGUGCACUUUGGUGACAUAGGUGGCAAAAUCAAUUCUUUUAAAUCUCUCUGCAUGCACUACCAUAUACCUGACACUAGGGUGUUACAAUUCAGCCCCACUAACUGAUCGCAACGUUCUUGUUGCGCACCAAGACCGUAACCCCCGACAGUGUGAGCCCUCUCGACUCCACACUCGUCUGGGUUCGGCUCUGAUACCACUUGUAACGCUCCGACCGUCCCUACCAGUGGGCCCCACGUCCUCUCUCGGGCCCAUGGGCCCACCCCUGUGCGACAGUCGGUUCGCUACGUACGAGAGGCUUUAAAGACUUGUUUACCGACCCUACAAAUCACCACAUGAUCUUUCCCUGUGUUUUGUCCUCACUCACACAGUUCUGACAAUCACUUCCCGGAAGAUCACCCAUCCUGAAACUACUCCAGCCCAAACACGCUUAACUGUGGAGUUCUCUCAGGACAGUUAGUUGACCGAAAAGAUAAGUGCACUUUGGUGACAUAGGUAGCCAAAUCAAUUCUUUUAAACCUCUCAGCAUGCACCACCAUAUUCCUGAAACCGGGUGUUACAACUGACCCCUUAAAAUUAUGAUACUGUGUUACAGUCCUUUAAUAUUUAUAAUAUUGUUUAUAAUUCUUGUGUUUUGACCCUCUUAAAAAUCUCAAUUGUGUUAUAGCCCUUUAAGAUUCAUACUAUUGUUUAUAAUUCUUAUGCUUUGACCCUCUUAAAAUUAUAAAUUUGUAUUUCAACCCUUUAAAUUUUAGAAUUUUUUAAUUUCUUUAUGUUUUGACUUUUGAGCCAAUUCGUCACAUAUUUUUAGCAUUUUUGUUUACUCCCAUAUAUAUUGAACCUAAUUUGUGGUUCUUUUAUUUUAUUUUAAAAAUCGUUUUUGCUUUUUGUUUUUAAAAUUAUUAGUUAUAUUUUGACCCCGUAAAAAAUAUUUUUAGGUCCGCGACUCUGGAUUCUGUCAAUAUAUGAGCUUGAUGGUGAUCGAUACAUAUUCAGUCGUAUUAACAUUGACAACCAAAGGAAUUCAAACUUAAAUAAAUAUGAAAUUUGAAUUGAACAAUCCUGAUUAGUGAUUAGUAUGUGUAGUCAUAAAUUAUAUUUAGCCUAGGUAAUGAAAGCAUGCACACGAUAUAUAUAACAUAUCCGAAAUCAAUUUUUUUGGUUAAAGAUCCGUACUCAAUUCAGAUACAUAAAAGGAACAUUAUUCAUCAUUAUUGCUAAGUUACGUGUAAAAGUAUGCUAUGAUAGUAGUUUUAAGAAUAAAUCCAAAAGUACAUGUAGAUCCGUGCUCACGAAAUCAUCCAAUAUGAGUUUUAUUUUUACUUUAGAGACAAAAAGUAUAGGGCGGAAAACUGAAAUUGAAACUAGUGUAGGUCAGAAAAAUACGGCAACCCCGUAAAAAUAUGGUAUUUUUGUUGGGUGAUUUUGCUUAGAGACAAAAUUGAGCAAGGAAAUUAGGGAUUCAACUAUAGUAGGAUUGGUUGGGGACAAACAAAAAUAGGCAUGAUGUUUGGGCCUGAAGAUGAAAAAAAUAACGAAAAUACCACAUCGUCUUCGGUACAUGCGCUUGGGCGAGUUGAUAUUGCCGUUUCAUGAAGUCAAAGAAUAACCUGCAAAACAAUUAAUGCUACGAGUCAAACUGACAAAGCUUACAAAAAGAAAGAAGUGAUUGGCAAUAAAUGCAACAGCUCUUAUCUCGAGCGAAUUAAUAUUGGCAAUAUGUAGAGUAUUAUUAGUAUUUGUAUACAUGUAACAGCGUAUAUAGAGAAUUAUUAAUAUUUUUGUAUUUAUAAAUAUUUAGUUGUAGAUCUACAAAGCUUUUUGGACAUCUAUGCAAAGAUCUAUAAUGCAAAAAUGCAGAUCUAACCAAACUUAUAGAGAGAUAUCAUCCAUACAAAGAUCUAUAACGCAAAAAUGCAGAUCUAACUAAACUCAUAGAGAGAUAUCAAGUAAUUCAGAUAAAUAAAUUAUCAGAAUUCUCCGAUACGGCGAGUUAAAUAGCAUAUGCGAGAGAGUGAUUAGGAUUCUCCGGCGCCGUGAAGUGAAUAAUAUACACGACGAAUCAGUUAGAUCGGAAUGAAGAGGAAUUAAACAGUAAUGCUAGAGAGAGAUGAUGAGACUUAGGAAAACGAUGAACAAGCGAGGUAAAUGGACAUCCAAGAAUCAAGAAAUAUUAACGAAAACAAAAAUUUAUAUGAAUAAGCGAGUGGGGUUAAAAUUGGGCAAAAUAGAGGCUAACAUAAGUGUUGUUCUGGGCUUUGUGUCAGUUUAUCAAAAAAACUAAAUAGUACUCCCAAUAAUGUCUCUCACCCAAUUAUCUUAUUUUUGUUUGGUUAUAAAAUACCUUUGUUUGAAAAAUCGCUAGGCGCUAGUCGGGCGCUCGGCAUGGACCUAGCGAUUAAUCGGAAAAUCGGAUUAAAAUCGAGGAUUAAUCGGGGAUUAGUUUUAGGGUUAUUUUAAUAUUCUUAAAACAUAUCAAUCCAAUAUUAUUUUCAAAAUUGCAGUAAAUACAUAAAAAUGUAUUUUUGAGACAAAUUUUUAUGAUUUUUAUUACAAAUUUAUGAUUUUUAUUAAAAUUUGAACAUAAGUUAUUGUAAAACAUUACAAAGUCCCAAUUCAAAUGAUUGAAUAACAAAAAUUAAAAGUUUUUUUAUACUAGCAAUCUAAAAAUAAUCGGGGUAUGUAAGAUUAGGCGGAGAAUAAUCGGAUUAGGCGGGAAGUAAUCGGAUUAGGCGGAGAGUAAUCGGGUGACUGAUUUCUUUAGAGGAUUAGUCAUUAAUCGAGGCGGAUAGGGUGGGCCUAGCGAUUAAGCGGGGAGUAAUCGGGUCUAGGCGGGGAUUUUUAGAACAAGGUAAAAUACCAAUGGUUCUCUUUGUUGUUUCUUUAUCAUGACAUGAAGGACCCAUCAUCCAUAAUUAUUAUUCUCAAUAGUAUGUUUUUUUAACUUGACUUAUUUGACAAACUCAACAAAAGGUAAUUAAAUCUGAGAAAUCAACAAAAUUUAAUGAUUAAAAUAAAAAAUCAUUUAAAAUUAGUGAAUUUUGUUACAGGAAGCAAAGUUGGUGUUUUAGCAUUUUUAAGUUACGAUUUUUUUUGACAUUUUUUCCAAAUCAAAACCCUAAUCUCAGCGCUACCCUAAUCCCUAGCCUCUAGGUAGCCGUCAAUACAAUAUACAUAUUAGAUCUCCUUGACAUUUCUCUCUUCUCUAACGUCAAGGUCAAGGUACACAAAAUUUUUUUGUUUUUCUGGAUCUGAAGCUUCUUUGGUUUGUCUUCUAGCCAUUACAUUUCUUCCUAUUGAAUCUCAAUGUUCUUGUUCUCUGCUCUGUACUAAAUAAUCCAUGUGACAUUUUUCUGGGAUUUUUGGUUGUGAUUGGAAGUGAUAACCCUCGGAUACUAAGUAAAAAAUCAAGGCUGGAUUCUCUAAGCAGCUCUGUUACUGGAAAACUUUUUACUUGGUUUCUGGUUAGAAACACUCUAGAGAGCUUGAGAUUUGGCAGUGUAGUGAUGUCAUAGGCCUUUGAUCGAGGGAACACUUCUUAUCAUAUAUUAAAAUUCUUGAAAGUUUGUGUCUCAAGUCUCUAAGGUUUGAUGAAUUGUUGCAAAUCUGAAAUUUGGUAAUACUUGGUGUAAUUUGGUGAAAUUUACUCACCACAUCUUAAGAAGUCAUUGGUGAAGUCAUUGGUGAAGCAGACCUCGAGGGUUGCUUUGGAGGACAUCAAGCUCAAGUUCAUUGAUACGUCUUCUAAAUUCUCAUACUGUCGUUUCCAGACUAGUCUGGAGAAGGCCAAGUUCUAUGGCAGACUCAAAGCUUAGAUUUUCAAAAUUCAGUUCCUCGUAUUGCUUUCUAGAGUUUCUAUUUUCUUGUUGACCAUUUUGGUAAAACAUACUUUUAUGCUUUAUUUAAUGAAAAAGGGUAAGCACAAGCUCUCACAUACACGGCGAGCAAUAGAUCCAUGUGUAUCAAUAUCUACAAGAAACAAUAUUACGCAGAGGGUGGAAUCUUUAGUUUACUUAUUUAGAACUUAGAAGCUCUAGUAAUUGGUAAUACAUAACUAAUAUAAAAGUAUGUUAUGAUAGUAAUUAAUUCAAAAAAAAGUAAAAGGUGGUGUUUUUGUUUGGUUAUAAAAUACCAAUGGUUCUCUUUGUUGUUUCUUUAUCAUGACAUGAAGGACCCAUCAUCCAUCGUUAUUAUUCUUAAUAGUAUGUUAUUUAACUUUUAUUGCACAUUAUUCUAUGUUGUUUGCUUCUUGUGGACAAAAAACGACAAAGAUAUACCCACUAAUAAGGGUACAUGAAACAUCAAAGCCGUUUUUAGUUACGUAAAAAAUGAAUAAGCUAAAAAAGUGGAAAUAUAUAUAUAUAUAUUUUUAACAACUAUAUGAAAAAAAUAUUUGAUUAAAAAGAGAGUAUGAAAAGAUGUAAAGGGAGAGUAGAAUAUAGCUUUGUCUUUACAUUUUGUCAUGUCCCCCAAAUUUGCGUACCUACGAAUAUUCACGAUACCUUACGCCAAGACUUAACUAAAUUAAAUUUAGGACAAUGGUUGGUUGAUGGUGAUUGAUUAGCUCGAUUCGUCGGUCUGAAAUCUGUGUAAUUAGUAAUUUGGCUGCAUCAUUUUGGGUAUAACGCAAUGGUUCGUCUUCUCAACGAACGUACAACUAAAUUCUAAGUACUAUUUUGCGAAAUGCCCCAUUAGAACAUUAUUUUAUCAUUCCAACAAUGAGAAACUAUUUUCGACAAACAACUCUCGUCUAUGUUUUUGAGAUUCUCUUCAUUCACCGCAUCAAAUUGUCUUGGCUAAUAAGCGAUCCUUUACUAUUUCUACUUCGACCAAUAUAGUGCUCACGGCUCGAAUAAUUCCAUUUCACAUCUAACAAAAAAAAAGACUCGAAUAAUUCUCAGCAACAAAUUUGAAAUUUCAAGGCUCGAAUAAUUCUUUAUUAACAAAAAGAGCUAGGUAAGGUAAAGAUUGUUUUUAUUUUCAAAAAGGAAUGUGUAGUUUCUUUAGACAUGGUAAUAGCAUAGUAUGGAAAUUAAAGAUAUAAAGUAGAAAGGGUACUUAGGGUAAAUAGAAAUUAUAUAAAACAAGUCAUGGACAAGUGUGAAUUUAUCACUUUAAGACAGUGAAGGAGAUUAUAGGAUCCAGAGACCAAGAUUAUGUCUCCUCCUAAUCCUUAGGUACUAUUAUCACACAAACUCUCGUUAGUAUUUUUAAUUAUCCUUUUUUUUUGUCGUCUGUUUAUUCUUUUCAAUAUAGAAAAUACAUACACUUUUUUUUGUCAAUCAGAAAAUAUAUACACUAAAUAACAAAAUUCUUUCUUCUUAUUGAUCUCUUUCUUAGAUAAGAGCAAAAGCUGAAGGUUGAAGAUGAACGAGUCGAGGUCGAUAAGAACAUGGAGCAUAUACAGAAGCAAAGAGGCUUCAGGGUCAUCUAUGAAUGCGAUUUCGUUUGGGUUUGUGGCGACUGCAAUAUUGAUAUUAAUGUUCAUCAUAUUGGCAAUCCUCGAACAUCUCUUCAAGUCCGAUCAUUCUUCUUCUUACGAUGUUGAUGGCUCUUCUCAGUUUCAGAAACUUGCUGAAAAAACCUCUUUGGUAAACAUUAAACACCACAAUUUUUUUAGUUUUUUUAGUUUUUUUUUUUUUUUUUUUAGUUUUUUUUUUUUUUUUUCUUUGCGCCUUAUUCGUCCCCUUCUCUCAUUUUGUUAUGAAAGACUUAGCCUACAAUCUGUAGUAUGAUAUUUCUUGAAUUUAUUUAGGCCUUUUUCUGAAAAAAGAGCAUAUUAAAUUUGAGAUUUUUCUUUUACAAAACCACAACCCUUUGAAGUUUCACCAAAAUGUAAUUAAGCAAAAAUGAAGUUUAUAAAUGUCUAUAGAUUAAACCAGUCUGUAAAAAAAAUAGCAGCAGUAGUAAAACUUCAAAAUCUACUAAUAACAUUAAUAUAAAAAACCUUGAAAGUUUCUUAUUUAUUCACUAAAACUAAUUUCCCAAAAAUUUGUUAGGUCUUUAAUACUUUUCUUAACAUUUUUGGUUGUUGUUCACUUUCGUUUUUGACGUGAAAACACCACCUUCUAAAAAUUAUCUGACAUAACCUAAGCACGUGAGAUGGCAGGUUCCGAUUACUACGUCAGAUGUGUCGGUGGUGAUGCCGGGAGAAAAAUUGCCGUCGUACGUAGCUCUUCGGGCGCCAUUUCCUUGCCGGAGAGAAGGCAUUCGCUGGCCUUCCCACCUCUAAUAUAUUAUUGUCUCUCUUAGCUUAGUCGUUGUAUCAUAAUUGUUCUGAUCAACUCAACCUUGACACCUUGAACAAUUGCUUGCUGGAUCAAAGUUAGUUAAAGAUUUCUGAUGAUUCUUUCUUUUUUUGUAAGAACCGAGGUAGCUAACUGCCAUUAUAACCCUCACGAAUGUAUCGAUUGUCCAAUUAAAAUAUUUUGCUAAGUUCACCUAUAUAAGGCGACUAGCAAACUUUUGCUAAGUCGGAAUGGAGGCGUACCAUCAAUAGUUGCGUACAAGAGACACGCCUCUUAUGUUUAAGAAGUUUAAGAACUUCAAGAAAAUAUGGCUAAGAAAAUUUUCCUAAGAACAAUCGUCGGAAAUUUCCGACAAGAUAUUAACAAAAUUUUGAAGUCGUCGGAAAUUUAUUGGAAAAUUCUAACAAAAUAUAUGUUGUCGGUGAAUCGUGGAAAUUAACGGAUAAUAAUUCAUUGAAAUGUGGUCCAAAAUUUCUUACUAUGUUUUUAUGGACAAUAAACGGAAGAAAAAGCAUGACCAAGAAAAACACAAUCUUAUGAAAAAUGUUCCUCCAAAUGCAAGAGAAGUAUCUUGAAACUUGACCAAGCUAAUCAAAAGAUUUAAGAGUUGGACAGUAAAUGUGAGGAUGCGGCCUACUGGACUUCCAUGAUGCAACAAACUCAUCCCAAUUUGGUCUCGCCUUCUUUUUUUUUUUUUUUGGGCAAAAGGCUUUCUUUCUCAUUAACUCAUUCGGUCUCACAAACAAACAAGUUUCUCAGAGAGAGUUUAGCGAGGUGAUCUGCCUCAUGGUUUUCGACUCUAGAUAUGAAAUUAAAGGAAACAUUGAUGAAGUUAGAAGAUAAAAACAGGAUAUCAUGGAGAAUCCCGUGGAGCUCCUUCGGCGGUUGCUCCGAUUUGAUGGCUUCAAUUACUUGUUUAGAAUCUGAAGCUAAGUUGAGAAUUUUAACACCAAAUCUCAAAGUUAGAGUUAUAAAUGAAUUUUAACACCAAAUCCCGUGGAGCUCCUUCGGCGGUUGCUCAAAGUUAGAGUUAUAAAUGGAUAUUCCAGUUCUCCACUUCCUUCAAAUCUGAGCUCUUGAGGGUUUGAGGGUAGUUUUGUUGACCGUUCACAGGGCGAGGGGCGUCUCCUACGCCGGGCUCUCCUGCGAGAAACGCCGUCGGGUUCUCUCUAGCUUUGAUUUUGGUCGGAGUUUACUAUUUUGGGUAAAGAAAAGUGGUUGAGGUUUUGCUGUUUUUAGUAAAAUAAGAAGGUUUAGAUCUUCUUUUCAAAAACCUUUACCAAGAAUAGCUUCUCGUAAAACGUGCCUGGGAGCUUUUUUUCCACAAUUGAGCUUACGGUUACUGUUUCCUUUAGCAUGAUUAGGACUGGUCUCGCCUUCUAAGAGAGUGGAAACUAAAAACAAAAACGUCGUGGCUACAAGAAAAUAUAUCUAUUCCGGCCACCAUAUCCAUCAGAAUUGAUCUAUUCUGGUAAAUUUCUGUCAAAAUAAAACUUGUAGGAAUUUAUCGGUCGGAAACAAACAAUUUCUCGAAAUUCGAAGAAAAUUAUUGACGAAGAAUAUUGUCGAAAAUUUGUUAGAAAAAUUUCUCGACAAUUCAUCAAAAAUUUAUGAACUAAUGUGGGACCAAAAAAUUCCGACCAAUUUUCGACGAAUGUUUCUUACAUCGGAAGUUGGUCAGAAAUUGGUCUGAAAUUUAUCUGUAUUUUUUCGACCACGUUUUUUGUUGGAAGUACUCGUUGGAAUUUAGGAUAUUUUCUUGUAGUGAAUUAACCCUUUUGAUUUGUAAUUGAUGUUUUAUGUUUAAAAUUAUGAUUUUUUAUUUAUAUUUUAACUUUCAUUUUUAAUUAAUAUACCUUUUAUAUUCAAAUUUAUUUCUGUAAUUUUGUUUAUUUUUAAUGAAAAUGAUCGUCAAACAUUUCUGAUGGUUUUUCGACAACAUUGUAAAUAGUUGUCAGAAACUUGUCGAAACUUCUGGCAAAAUUCCGAUGACUUUACAUUAAUUCCAAUGACUCGUUUGUCGGAAACAAGUCAAAAUUUACUGACAAUGUUCUCACUAUAUUUUUCAUCAGAAAGUUUGAUCGGGAUAUAAUCUGUAAUUUCCAACGAGAGGAUAGUUAAAAAAAUUCUGACAAGACAAGCCGUAUAAAUCUUCAUUGCCCUAUUUUAUCUGAAAUGUUUGACGAAUUUCAUCGACAUUUAUUACUGUUUUCAAAAAAAUAAAAAAUAAGAAAUCAUCCAAAAUAAUAUUUGAAAGUAAAAUAUAACUAAAACUAAAAGGUUUAAUUUUUAAAUCCAUAAAAGAAAAUAUCAAAUGUCAUCAAAAUAAAGUAUUGAUUAGUAACAAAUAUAUUAGAAAAAGUAAGAGAUUAGAUAAGGAAUAAGAAAAACAAAUUUUGGAAUAGAGAGAUAUGAAUAUGGAGAGAAUGAAAGAUUUAAGUUUAAACUUUGCUUUCAAUGAGACAAACUAUUAUAGUUCUAUAUAUCUAAACAAGUUCCAACGACAUAUUGCAUAACUAAUUUGUAGGAAACAAAAAUCCGCUAAAUUCAAUUGAUUUUGAAAUUGAAAGAGGGACCGAAAAAAGGUUUUAAUUUUCGAUGAAUUUUUGAUGGACUUGGAAAUAUUCAUUGGAGAAAUGGUCGAGGUGUAAAUAUGUAAUUUUGAUGAAUAUUUUCAUAUCCAACAAAAACUCGUUCGUCAUAAAUCCAUAAAUCCAUAAAUUUGUCACCGCGUAAAACUAAAUGUAUGUUGACAGGACAUCGGGUACGUUAGCGAGGAAAGUACACUCUUUAACAUCACCAUCUUGCCUGCCCCCGAGAGGAAGCGAUUGGACCAGCUAAUAGCUCUUUGACGCAUACGAUCAACAAUUGAAGUAAAAAGAUCCUUCCUUUUGCGCCCAAAGAGUUCUGGCAGCCCUAAGUUUGAUAGACCAAAUCUUUAUAAUGGAACAUGGAUAAUUAUUGAAAUCCAUGCCUCUUCUUAUUUUGUGGGCAAGACAUCUUAGUUGUCUGAAUCAUAUCCAUGUAUUUUAUAACCGUGUUCGACGUAGUUUCCCCGACUUAAGAAAACGCAGAACUUCGCAAGACUUGACCGUUGACUCUCAAUUACAACUUGUUCCUUGAAGGUAGGAACGAGACGUUAAAGGUCACUUUGUUUGAAAGUCUUUUUGUCCGAAAAUUUAUUAGUAGUCAACUUACAGCCAGCUAUAUAAUUUGUUUUUUUGGUUUUCGAAAUUAUUUUUCUAGUUUCAUUAAGGGAAAAAAACUAGUUCGACCCAAAAAUAAGGUUUAAUUACUAAAAUAACUCAUAAAAUGUAUGAGUUAAUCUAGUUAUUUUCCUGACCAAAAUACUCUUUGUCUCUUUGUUAGGAAAAAAAAUAAAGUCAAUAUUACCCUCUGAUUUUUCUGGAAACGUGGGUGAAAUUUUUUUUUUAAAAAAAUCUGCCGUUAAAAGUCUGUGGGCGUCGUUGUGACAGAUUUAUUUUCUCCGACAGAUUUAAUAGUCUACGACAGAUUUUCUGUGGCAAUUUUUUUUCUCCCACAGACUUAUUUGAAUAUGGUUACGACAGAUAUUUAAUUUGUAGCAGAUUUUUUUCCUUUGCCAGACUUAUUUUAUGAUGACGCCUCAGACUUUCGUAAUUUUGACAGUUUUAUUAUAAUAUGUAGCAGAUUUUUGUUUCUAGUGGCGUCAGACUUAUUUUUUUUGGAAAAAAACUGUCAUAAUACAGCAGAUUUGUUAAUAAAAAUAAUUACUAGUUUGACUUUUUAGUGCUUACAGAUUUGUUUUACGUUAUGACAGACUUUUUAUUUUUAACAAAAAAUCUGGAAUGUUAUAGCAGAUUUGUUUUUAAAAAAUUGAAAUUGCUAGAAUGACAUAUAGUCACAACCGAUAUGUUUAACGUUAUGACAGAUUUUUUUUUAUGUUAUGCCAGAUUUAUGUUUAAUUUACAAAAAUCUGGUGUUUCAUAGCAGAUUUCUUGAAUUAAAAAUAAACUAGGAUCAGACCCGCGGUCCACCGCGGGAGAAUAUUGGUUUACAUACGUUGCGUUUAAUAUUGUGUGUAUUUUUUAGUAGAACGAAUCGUGUAGUAUACUUAUAAAUAUUCAUAAUAACGAAUUGUAGAGAAAAUGUAAAAUUGUUUAUAAAUAUACCCAUCGUAUUAAUUAUGAUUUACAAAAUAGAAUUUUGGGUUUUAAAAUUCUAAAAUUAGACGAUUCAUGGGAACUAAAACAGUCAAAAUAGGUCAAAAACCGCGGGUCGAGCCCACAUCAUCUCACUAUGGGGCAGAUUUGGGAAAAUAUAUUAAACCCGCAAAUAAGCGGGCCACAUGGAUUAAUUCGCAGUGGGUCAUAGGUUUAAUCGGUUUUCAUCCAUGGGUUGGAGGAUCAGCCCGCAUAUUAGUAUUUAUUGAUAAAAUUAUAAUUUAUUCAACAUGUGGUAAUUUAAACAAACUUUUAAUAGUAUUUUUAUUUAUUUAUUUAUUUUAGUAGUAUUUAAAAUUUUGGUUACUUUAAAAUUAUUUAAACAAAAUCCAUGGACAAUCCCGCAAAUCCGCAUACAUUCGCGGGACGGGUUUGUAUUUCAUAUAUGCUACCCGCGGGUCGUGCGGACCGACUAACUACAAGUCAAAAUAUUUUUUGUCUAUCGCAAAACGGACUUAACGGGACGAAUCAACUCGCUUUGACAGUUAUAAUGGGAAUAUUAUUUAGUCAUACAACAAAAUGAAGUUUGGACAUAGUAAUAAUAGAAUAUGUAUCUUAUUUGUUAGAUGAGAGAUUGAAAGAUGAAGUAUAAUGAUUAAAAAUUAAUUAUUAUUUUUCAUGAUUCACAAAAUUUAAUAAAUACUUAUCAUCUUGUUGAAUAAUUCUAAAAUCAUAUUCAAGAAAUCUUUAUAAAUUGAAAAUUAAACUUCUUUGGUAAGCUAUAGGUAUGAAAAUAUCAUAAUUUCGAUUUAAUCUAAUUAAAUUAAAAUUAGUUACAUGGAUUUCAUAUCUAUUUAAUUUACACGACCAAAAUAAAAAUAUCUAUUUAAUUUACACGACCAAAAUAAAAAUAUCAAUUUAAUUUAUAAAAUAGAUGGGUUAUUUGUGAUAAAUUUUCUAGAAAUCUUUAGAAGCAAAUAAAAUAUCUUUCAAUUAAUGAUAAUUGGCUAAAAUGAGCGAAAUUAAUGACAAAAACGUUGAUUGUUAUGGAAUUAGUCCCAAAAAUAUAUGAACAAAUUUAUUAUACGUAAUUAAUGUAUAAUAUUGUUCGGAAUACGCUUUUAUUAUUAGUUACCAUAAGUACAAUCAAAUUUUAUUUGAUUUCCAUAAAUAUUUGAUUUUAUUUCGAUUUUUCAUUAUUAGGGGGUGUUAUUGGUUUGUGAUUUAAAUAGAGUUUUGAUGACUUUAAUAAAAUCAUAGAAAGUGAAUAAGUGAAUGAUUUAGAAGAAUUGUUAGAGAGUUUUCUAUAGUCUUGUUGAUUAGUUUUUCUAUAAUCUUAUAGAGUCUCCCAAACAAUCUCAAUAUUUCAGCAUACUUUCCAUGACUUUAUUUUGUAAAGAAAAGUGUUUAAAAUCAUAAACCAAUAACACAAUAAUUGAAUUCAUUAACAAUCAUAGAUUGUCAUAGAUUGUUUUGUUUUAGUUGAAUAACACAAAACUUUUAAUGACUUUAUAAAACUCUUAAUCCAAUAACACAAUGUUCAUUAAGAUUUUAAAUAACUUUUUACAAAUCACAAACUAAUAACACCAAACUUUAAGAGAGUUUAACAAAAUCUUGAUUGAAUAACAACAGAUUCUACACAACAAUUAAAGUCAUUAAAACUCUAUUUAAAUCACAAACCAAUAACACCCCCUUAAUUCGAAUUUAUAUUCCAAAAAAAUUUCAAAGAUCCGAUUUCAGAAAUUGGGUCAAUUUUCUGAUUUUAACCCGACCCAUUUUCAUUUGUACUUCUCUUUUAAUCUACUAUACAUUUUUGCAACAGUUUUUGGGGUACCCAAAUCGGGUCAA